rnacentral:lncRNA from 1 species
UCCGGGAUGAGCCGCUUCUCCGCCACCAUGUCUUCAAAUUCAUCCGCGUUAAACUUGGUAAAGCCCCACUUCUUUGAGAUGUGGAUCUGAACUCUGGCUACUGUGCCUUGGGGCUUUCCAAAAGCACCCCGCAUACCUGUCUGCAGCCUGUCAGCACCAGCACAGGACAACAUCUUGUUUGAUUCGGAUGACAUGGAAGGGGUGGAGCCGCACUCGGAUAUGAAAGCCAUCUUUGCCACAGCUUUUUACCAUGUAUUUGUUGGCACAAAUACGGGCAGCCUCCAGGGCUUUGGAAGAGAGCUGCUCUGGAAACUCAUCCACUUUUGCCUUCUUCCGGCCCAGAUCAAAGAUACGGAUCUUGGCAUCAGGGACACCUCGGCAGAAGCGAGACUUAGGGUACGGCUUGUUCUUACAAUACCGGUAACACCGGGCGGGGCGGCGGCCCAUGGCGACACCAGGGUCUUCGGUGGCGUGCCGAAGGAAAAAGAGCAGAAUGGAAUAAAUAUUUACAAACCACAUAUUUGACAAAAGUCUAUCAUCUAGAAUAAAGAACUCAUAAAAUACA